rnacentral:rRNA from 1 species
UAAUUUAAGGUCUAGCCUGCCCACUGAAAUUUUAAAUGGCCGUGGUAUUUUGACCAUGCUAAGGUAGCAUAAUCAAUAGUUUUUUAAUUAAAAACUGGAAUGAAAGGUUGGAUAAGAAAAUGACUGUCUCUAUUAAAUUUUAUUAGAAUUUUAUUUUUAAGUUAAAAAGCUUAAAUAUAUUUAAAAGACGAGAAGACCCUAUAGAAUUUUAUUAUUAUAUAAAAGUUAUAUUUUAGUAUUUAAUUAUUUAUUUUAUUAUUUAAUUUAGUUGGGGUGAUUGAAAAAUUUAAUUAACUUUUUUUAAUUAAAAACAUUUAUUUAUGAAAAAAUGAUCCAUUAUUUUUGAUUAUAAGAUAAAAUUACCUUAGGGAUAACAGCGUAAUUUUUUUUAAAAGUUCAUAUUUAAAAAAAAGAUUGCGACCUCGAUGUUGGAUUAAAAUUUAUUUUUGGUGUAGAAGCUAAAAUAUUGGGUCUGUUCGACCUUUAAAAUUUUA